CCUACGGGGGGCUGCAGUGGGGAAUAUUGGACAAUGGGGGCAACCCUGAUCCAGCCAUGCCGCGUGUGUGAAGAAGGCCCUCGGGUUGUAAAGCACUUUCAGUGAGGAAGAACGCCUGGUGGUUAAUACCCAUCAGGAAAGACAUCACUCACAGAAGAAGCACCGGCUAACUCCGUGCCAGCAGCCGCGGUAAUACGGAGGGUGCGAGCGUUAAUCGGAAUUACUGGGCGUAAAGCGCGCGUAGGUGGCUUGAUAAGCCGGUUGUGAAAGCCCCGGGCUCAACCUGGGAACGGCAUCCGGAACUGUCAAGCUAGAGUGCAGGAGAGGAAGGUAGAAUUCCCGGUGUAGCGGUGAAAUGCGUAGAGAUCGGGAGGAAUACCAGUGGCGAAGGCGGCCUUCUGGACUAACACUGACACUGAGGUGCGAAAGCGUGGGUAGCAAACAGGAUUAGAUACCCUUGUAGUC
rnacentral:rRNA from 1 species